rnacentral:rRNA from 1 species
AACGGCCAUACCAUGCGGAAUAUACCGGUUCUCGUUAGAUCACCGAAGUGAAGCAUCGUUGGGUGCGGUCAGUACUUGGGUGGGUGACCACCUGGGAACACCGCGUGCCGUU